rnacentral:tRNA from 1 species
UUUUGUUCUUAUCGCGAAAGUCCGCUACUGUUAUGCGCACAGCGUUCGAUGCAAUCAAACGCCAAAGGGAAUGUC